rnacentral:rRNA from 1 species
ACGUAGGGUGCAAGCGUUGUCCGGAAUUAUUGGGCGUAAAGAGCUCGUAGGCGGUUUGUCGCGUCUGCUGUGAAAUUUCGAGGCUCAACCUCGAACUUGCAGUGGGUACGGGCAGGCUAGAGUGCAGUAGGGGAGAUGGGAAUUCCUGGUGUAGCGGUGGAAUGCGCAGAUAUCAGGAGGAACACCAAUGGCGAAGGCACAUCUCUGGGCUGUAACUGACGCUGAGGAGCGAAAGCGUGGGGAGCGAACAGG